rnacentral:rRNA from 1 species
CCUACGGGAGGCAGCAGUCGAGAAUCAUUCACAAUGGGGGAAACCCUGAUGGUGCGACGCCGCGUGGGGGAAUGAAGGUCUUCGGAUUGUAAACCCCUGUCAUGUGGGAGCAAAUUAAAAAGAUAGUACCACAAGAGGAAGAGACGGCCAACUCUGUGCCAGCAGCCGCGGUAAUACAGAGGUCUCAAGCGUUGUUCGGAAUCACUGGGCUUAAAGCGUGCGUAGGCUGUUUCGUAAGUCGUGUGUGAAAGGCGCGGGCUCAACCCGCGGACGGCACAUGAUACUGCGAGACUAGAGUAAUGGAGGGGGAACCGGAAUUCUCGGUGUAGCAGUGAAAUGCGUAGAUAUCGAGAGGAACACUCGUGGCGAAGGCGGGUUCCUGGACAUUAACUGACGCUGAGGCACGAAGGCCAGGGGAGCGAAAGGGAUUAGAUACCCCGGUAGUC